rnacentral:rRNA from 1 species
UGCCAGCCGCCGCGGUAAUACGAAGGGGACUAGCGUUGUCCGGAAUUACUGGGCGUAAAGAGCGCGUAGGCGGACUGAUAAGUUGAGGGUGAAAGCCCGGGGCUCAACCCCGGAACUGCCUUCAAAACUGUCAGUCUUGAGAUCGGAAGAGGUGAGCGGAAUUCCUAGUGUAGAGGUGAAAUUCGUAGAUAUUAGGAAGAACACCGGUGGCGAAGGCGGCUCACUGGUCCGAUACUGACGCUGAGGCGCGAAAGCGUGGGGAGCAAACAGGAUUAGAUA